UACGAAGGACCCAAGCGUUAUCCGGAUUUAUUGGGUUUAAAGGGUGCGUAGGCGGGCUAUUAAGUCAGUGGUGAAAGCUCCGAGCUUAACUCGGAAACUGCCAUUGAUACUGACGGUCUUGAGUACAUUUGAGGUGGGCGGAAUGUGUCAUGUAGCGGUGAAAUGCUUAGAUAUGACACAGAACACCGAUUGCGAAGGCAGCUCACUAAACUGUAACUGACGCUGAGGCACGAAAGCGUGGGGAGCAAACAGG
rnacentral:rRNA from 1 species